rnacentral:ncRNA from 1 species
UUACAUGAGAGUUUGAUCCUGGCUCAGGACGAACGCUGGCGGCGUGCCUAAUACAUGCAAGUCGAACGGUCUUUUCUAUGGAAGCUUGCUUCCGCUGAGAAGAUAGUGGCGAACGGGUGAGUAACACGUGGGUAACCUGCCCAUAAGAGGGGGAUAACAUCCGGAAACGGGUGCUAAUACCGCAU